UAGGGAAUCUUCCACAAUGGACGAAAGUCUGAUGGAGCAACGCCGCGUGAGUGAAGAAGGGUUUCGGCUCGUAAAACUCUGUUGUUAAAGAAGAACAUAUCUGAGAGUAACUGUUCAGGUAUUGACGGUAUUUAACCAGAAAGCCACGGCUAACUACGUGCCAGCAGCCGCGGUAAUACGUAGGUGGCAAGCGUUGUCCGGAUUUAUUGGGCGUAAAGCGAGCGCAGGCGGUUUUUUAAGUCUGAUGUGAAAGCCUUCGGCUCAACCGAAGAAGUGCAUCGGAAACUGGGAAACUUGAGUGCAGAAGAGGACAGUGGAACUCCAUGUGUAGCGGUGAAAUGCGUAGAUAUAUGGAAGAACACCAGUGGCGAAGGCGGCUGGCUGGUCUGUAACUGACGCUGAGGCUCGAAAGUAUGGGUAGCAAACAGG
rnacentral:rRNA from 1 species